AGAGCAGAGAGCAGAGAGCACUCCCUCAAACUUAACAGCGAAAGUGCGAAUCACUAAAAUGCUGUCAUCCUCAACCUCAAGGAUCACUUUCAUUUUUAGGUAUUCUCUUCUCCAAAUCCCUAAUUUUGUUUCCUUCCCUUCCUCUUCAUCCCUUCACUCUCAUUCUGAGCCCCCAUCCCUUCGUCAAGUUGAUGAAGCUGUUGAUUCCUUCACUCGCAUGCUCUCUAUGCGUCGCCCUCCAUCCAUCAUCCAAUUCACCAAGAUUUUGGGAUCUCUUGCCAAGACCAACCAUUUCCCCACCGCCAUUUCCCUUUUUCGGCAAUUGCAAGCCAGGGGAAUCGCUCCCAACUUAUUUACUUUGAAUAUCUUAAUCAAUUGUUGCUGCGGCAUGGGUCGUAUGACGCUUGCUUUCUCUGUGUUGGCCAAGAUUUUCAGAAUGGAUUAUCAACCUGAUACGGUAACAUUGACAACAAUCCUGAAAGGUCUCUGUCUCUGUGGUAGUGUUGAAAAAGCAGUGUGCUUUCAUGACAGAGUGCUGGCUCAUGGAUUUCACUUCAACCAAGUCACUUAUGGGACCUUGAUUAAUGGGCUCUGUAAGACCGGACACACAUCAGCUGCUAUUCAACUGCUGAGAAAGAUCCCACGGCAUGGGAUUGUUCCUAAUGUCUUCAUGUACAACUCAAUUAUUGAUAGCCUCUGCAAGGUUACACUUGUAAGUGAGGCUUUUCAUUUAUACUCUGAAAUGCUUGCUAGGGGAAUUUCUCCCGAUGUUAUCACCUACAACACUCUAAUUUAUGGUUUGUGCCUUACGGGCCAACUUAAGGAAGCCAUUGAUUUGUUAAGUGAUAUGGUGCUUAGAAACAUUACUCCUGAUGUUCAUACCUAUAGUAUUUUGAUGGAUGGGCUAUGCAAGGAAGGAAAGAUCAAAGAUGCUAAGAAUGUGUUGGCUGUGAUGACAAAACAUGGUGUGAAACCAAAUGUGGUUACUUAUAACAGCUUAAUGGACGGAUUUUGUUUGGUUAAUCAGGUAAAUAAGGCAAAAUAUGUAUUCAACACAAUGGCCGAGAGUAGAGCGUUUCCUGAUGUUCAGAGUUACAAUAUCAUGAUUAAUGGCUUUUGUAAGAAUCACAUGAUCGAUGACGCCUUGAAUCUCUUUGAAGAGAUGCGUCGCAAGAAUUUAGUUCCUGACACUGUAACUUACAAUACUCUAGUUGAUGGCUUGGGAAAAUCAAAGAGAAUCCUUUGUGCCUUGGAGCUUCUUGAAAAGAUGCACGAUCGAGGUCAACCCGCUAAUAUAGUCACUUACAAUUCUUUGCUGGAUGCUUUGUUCAAUAUCAAACAACAUGACAAGGCACUUAUGUUAUUCAAUCAAAUGAAAGAUUGUGGCAUUGAUCCAGAUAUAUAUACAUACAGCAUACUUAUAGAUGGCCUGUGCAAAAGUGGGAGACUUAAAAAUGCAAAAGUGAUUUUUCAAGAUCUUUCCAUUAAAGGCUGUCGUCCAGACGUGAGGGCAUACACUAUUAUGAUCAAUGGGCUUUGCAAAGAGGGCCUACUUCAUGAAGCAUUGGCUUUCUUGUCAAAAAUGGAAGACAAUGGUUGCUUGCCAAAUGCUGUGACUUACGAAAUAAUCAUUCGUGCUCUAUUUGAAAAAGGUGAAAAUGAUAAUGCGGAGAAACUUCUUCGUGAAAUGAUAUCUAGAGGCCUAUUGCAAGGAUAAAAGUUGGUGAGAUUCUUCUUGUUAGACAUCACAAAAUGUUGUUUAUAUCUCUUUCUUUUUAACUUGUGUUUUGUUACCAUCUUCUAGAUCAUCUUUCCAUUCCAUACUAAUGCUUUUAGAUCUUCACAUGAUUGUGAUUCUUUAUUCUGCUUUACCCACACCUAAGUGUUUUCUUUGUCGUUGCUUAUUUUAUGGCAUUUUCGGUGACUAGAUGGCUGUUAUAUGUGGCUUGAAGGAUCUAUCAUUAUUUCCUUUUUUGUUUUUGUAAUUAUAUAUGUGCAUUGAUGUUAAUUUAUUCCUAAGCUGAAACCGUUGUGAUUUUCAUCAUUCAAAGGGAAUCCUUGUUAGUUGUGAAGCUUCCCUGCACUCUUAUUGUCUUUCGAUCUUUUCAUUUCCCCCAUAUUUAUUCUCUUUUGGGAAAUGAUUGCUAGAGGCUUAUUGAAUGGUUUAUAGAAGGUGCACUGAAGCAUGUUAAGUUGCAGCAUGGGGCAGACAAAAAUUGAACUUCUCCCAAGCAAAUCGGUGGUUCUCAAGUGCCACAAACCAGAGACAAUGUAAGCAUGAGAAGGCUCAAUCAUGGAAUAUGUAUCAAUAACUAAGAUAAGACCAAUACAUUGUUGAUGUUGAAAAGUUAUGAACUACAAUGUGUGGGAAUGAACCAUAUCAAAAGGGUAAA